UACGAAGGGGGCUAGCGUUGCUCGGAAUCACUGGGCGUAAAGCGCACGUAGGCGGCUUACUAAGUCAGGGGUGAAAUCCUGGAGCUCAACUCCAGAACUGCCUUUGAUACUGGUAAGCUCGAGUCCGGGAGAGGUGAGUGGAACUGCGAGUGUAGAGGUGAAAUUCGUAGAUAUUCGCAAGAACACCAGUGGCGAAGGCGGCUCACUGGUCCGGUACUGACGCUGAGGUGCGAAAGCGUGGGGAGCAAACAGG
rnacentral:rRNA from 1 species